AGUGGGCGUAACGUACCUACUAGCCUACGACGGGUACGGGUUGUGAGAGCAAGAGCCCGGAGAUGGAUUCUGAGACACGAAUCCAGGCCCUACGGGGUGCAGCAGGCGCGAAAACUUUACAAUGCGGGAAACCGUGAUAAGGGAAUCUCGAGUGCCAGCAUAUAAUGUUGGCUGUCCAGAUGCCUAAAAAGCAUCUGUUAGCAAGGGCCGGGCAAGACCGGUGCCAGCCGCCGCGGUAACACCGGCGGCCCGAGUGGUAACCGUUUUUAUUGGGUCUAAAGGGUCUGUAGCCGGCCAUGUAAGUCCCUUGGGAAAUCUGGCAGCUCAACUGUCAGGCUGCUAGGGGAUACUGCUUGGCUUGGGACCGGGAGAGGUGAGAGGUACCUUGAGGGUAGGGGUGAAAUCUUGUGAUCCUCGGGGGACCACCAGUGGCGAAGGCGUCUCACCAGAACGGGUCCGACGGUAAGGGACGAAAGCUAGGGGCACGAACCGGAUUAGAU
rnacentral:rRNA from 1 species